CCCUACCAAGGUACCUCGUAUAUAAUUCCCUCAGCUUCGGAUAACUAAUGUACCCACCAUACUCUGUACCGUAAAUUUUCUCUGCCUCCUGCUGCAACACACCCAAGUGCCUCAUCAGUAGUGCCGCCCCCUCAUGUCUCAACAUCUUCUUCCCAUGGCUCAACAUCCUCCCUUCAAUCUGAAGAUGCAUAAGACAUGCGACAUCAUCCAAAGUCACAGUCAUCUCCCCCAAGGGCAUGUGAAAAGUGUUGGUCUCGGGAUGCCACCUCUCGCAUAGAGUCAUCAGUAGAGCAUGAG
rnacentral:lncRNA from 1 species